CCCUUAGAUGUUCUGGGCCGCACGCGCGCUACACUGAUGCAUUCAACGAGCCUAUCCUUGACCGACAGGUCCGGGUAAUCUUUGAAUCUGCAUCGUGACGGGGAUAGAUUAUUGCAAUUAUUAAUCUUCAACGAGGAAUGCCUAGUAGGCGCAAGUCAUCAGCUUGCGUCGAUUACGUCCCUGCCCUUUGUACACACCGCCCGUCGCUCCUACCGAUUGGGUGUGCCGGUGAAAUGUUCGGAUCGGCCGUUUGUCGCGGUUUCCGCGGCUCGUGGCUGAGAAGUUCAUUAAACCCUCCCACCUAGAGGAAGGAGAAGUCGUAACA
rnacentral:rRNA from 1 species